rnacentral:rRNA from 1 species
CCCUUAGAUGUCCUGGGCCGCACGCGUGCUACACUGACGCAUACAGCGAGCACUUUCCAGUUCCGAGAGGCUACUGGUAAUCAUCAAUAUGCGUCGUGAUGGGGAUAGAUCUUUGGAAUUCUGGAUCUUGAACGAGGAAUGCCUAGUAAUCGCAGGUCAUUAGCCUGCGAUGAUUAAGUCCCUGCCCUUUGUACACACCGCCCGUCGCUACUACCGAUUUCGAGUGGUCCGGUGAAUCUUUCGGACUGUGGGCGCCCUUGAGGUGUUCGCGGAAAGUCAGGUAAAUCUUAUCACUUAGAGGAAGUAAAAGUCGUAACA